AGGCGGCUUUGCAAGUCAGGUGUGAAAACUAUGGGCUUAACCCAUAACGUGCACUUGAAACUGUGGAGCUUGAGUGGAGUAGAGGCAGGCGGAAUUCCCGGUGUAGCGGUGAAAUGCGUAGAGAUCGGGAGGAACACCAGUGGCGAAGGCGGCCUGCUGGGCUUUAACUGACGCUGAGGCACGAAAGCAUGGGUAGCAAACAGGAUUAGAUACCCUGGUAGUCCAUGCUGUAAACGAUGAUUACUAGGUGUGGGGGGUCUGACCCCUUCCGUGCCGGAGUUAACACAAUAAGUAAUCCACCUGGGAAGUACGACCGCAAGGUUGAAACUCAAAGGAAUUGACGGGGGCCCGCACAAGCAGUGGAGUAUGUGGUUUAAUUCGAAGCAACGCGAAGAACCUUACCAGGUCUUGACAUCCAACUAACGAAGCAGAGAUGCAUUAGGUGCCCUUCGGGGAAAGUUGAGACAGGUGGUGCAUGGUUGUCAUCAGCUCGUGUCGUGAGAUGUUGGGUUAAGUCCCGCAACGAGCGCAACCCUUGUGAUUAGUUGCUACGCA
rnacentral:rRNA from 1 species